rnacentral:rRNA from 1 species
CAGCAGCCGCGGUAAUACGAAGGGGGCUAGCGUUGUUCGGAUUUACUGGGCGUAAAGCGCACGUAGGCGGAUCUUUAAGUCAGAGGUGAAAUCCCAAGGCUCAACCUUGGAACUGCCUUUGAUACUGGGGAUCUCGAGUUCGGGAGAGGUGAGUGGAACUGCGAGUGUAGAGGUGAAAUUCGUAGAUAUUCGCAAGAACACCAGUGGCGAAGGCGGCUCACUGGCCCGAUACUGACGCUGAGGUGCGAAAGCGUGGGGAGCAAACAGGAUUAGAUACCCGUGUAGUCCCUGUCUCUUAUAC